rnacentral:tRNA from 1 species
AGGAUUUUAGUCAAAUAUGAUAUUUAAUUUGCAAUUAAAAGGUAAAUAAAUCUUA